rnacentral:rRNA from 1 species
UACAGAGGUCCCAAGCGUUGUUCGGAUUCAUUGGGCGUAAAGGGUGUGUAGGCGGCGCGGUAAGUCGGGUGUGAAAUCUCGGAGCUUAACUCCGAAACUGCAUUCGAUACUGCCGUGCUUGAGGACUGGAGAGGAGACUGGAAUUUACGGUGUAGCGGUGAAAUGCGUAGAUAUCGUAAGGAAGACCAGUGGCGAAGGCGGGUCUCUGGACAGUUCCUGACGCUGAGGCACGAAGGCUAGGGGAGCAAACAGG